rnacentral:rRNA from 1 species
CGAAAGCCUGACGGAGCAAUACCGCGUGAGGGAGGAAUGCCUUUGGGUUGUAAACCUCUUUUCUCAGGGAAGAAGAUCUGACGGUACCUGAGGAAUAAGUAUCGGCUAACUCCGUGCCAGCAGCCGCGGUAAUGCGGAGGAUGCAAGCGUUAUCCGGAAUCAUUGGGCGUAAAGCGUCCGCAGGUGGUUUCCAAAGUCUGCUGUUAAAGACUGGAGCUCAACUCCGGAACGGCGGUGGAGACUUGGAAACUAGAGUUCGGUAGGGGUAGCAGGAAUUCCCAGUGUAGCGGUGAAAUGCGUAGAUAUUGGGAAGAACAUCGGUGGCGAAGGCGUGCUACUGGACCGCAACUGACACUCAGGGACGAAAGCUAGGGUAGCGAAAGGGAUUAGAUACCCCUGUAGUCCUAGCCGUAAACGAUG